AAGUCGUAACAAGGUUUCCGUAGGUGAACCUGCGGAAGGAUCAUUAACGAGUAACUGAACAGGUUGUAGCUGGCCUUUCGGGGCAUGUGCACACCUGGCUCAUCCACUCUUCAACCACUGUGCACUUAUUGUAGGUCGGCAGAAGGGCGAGUCUAACAGCUCGCUCGGAAGCCUUCCUAUGUUUUAUUACAAACGCUUCAGUUUAAGAAUGUAAACCUGCGUAUAACGCAACUAUAUACAACUUUCAGCAACGGAUCUCUUGGCUCUC
rnacentral:misc_RNA from 1 species